rnacentral:misc_RNA from 1 species
AAUUCAACCAACCAGAGCAGAAAAAUCAAUCAUAUAACCCGAAUCAACUCAGUUUUCCGAAGCCGGGAAACCUCACCGGGACGUAGCGCCGCCUGCAGGUGGAGGCCCCCGCAGCAGCGAGCUCCAUGCCCCCGUCGGUGCCUCCCCCUCCUCCUGAGCAACCAUUCACCGGCGUCCAUCUAAACAGAACCACCUUGUUGUCUCCUCGUGAGCUCCCUCCCCCGGACCCGGCGGUGCCGGUGCCGGUACCGGUGAGGGGCACCCAGGCCUUGCGCCACUUCCGGACGGGCCCACUGAAGGAGGCAGCACUGCUGCUGAUGGGCCCGUAUCGCGUCGAGGAGCGACUCAGGCGGGGAGCCACCGUGUCCAUAGUCCCCUCGUGUGUGGCGGGCGCAGGCGCGCCGCAGCGACGUGCUCCGGCGUG